GCGACAUCAAGGCGGAAUAGUUAAUGUCGAUGGAGAGUGGGAUUCGAUCUUGACAUUAGAGCUUGGGAUUCGUCUUUGAGAUUUGGCAGUAAGAUUCGACUUUGGGAUUCGACAUUGAGAUUCGAUCCUCGGAUACGGCCUUGAGAUUCCAUCAUAGGAUUCGACCUCGAGAUUUGACAGUGAGAUUCAACCUUGGCAGCCGACCUUGAGAUUCACACUUGGGAUUCGACCUUGGCAGUCGACCUUGGGAUUCGACCAUGCGAUCCUAUCUCGAGAUUCAACCUUGACAUUCAGCCUUAUGAUUCGACCUUAGGAUUCAACCUUGCAAUUCGACCCUUGGGAUUCGACCAUCGUAUUCGACCUCUCCUUUUUGGACAGAAAUCAACCAGUUAAUAUGCAAAUCGAUCCUUGGGCUGUAUGGACGAUAGCCUCGUUAAAUCCAGAGGAAGCAGGUUGGAGAUUGAAUUUUUUUUUCCACGAGAUUAUCGUCCAGUGACCUGUUUACUCCUGAAUGAAAUUUUGCCAUUGGCUACUGGAAUAUCCAACAGCUGUGAGAAUAUGACAAGAUACAAGAUUAUACCAAGACAAACAUUCUACAAGGUUCUACCACGACAAAGAUUCUUUAGUGCCAUUUUUUAACAAAUACCUGAUUUGUCAAUGUAUUUGUUACUAAUGAUGGUAAACUAUUAGUUACAUAUCUAUUGGAUAGCGAAAUAUGGUUCACAUUAUGUUGUUUUUGCUUGAAUUUCUUAUCAGUUUAAUAUCAGCUAACAAGUAUCUUCCAAUGCUUCAAGGUAAGCUGACUUUACUUAUAUUUACCAUUAGUUGAAUGUGGCACAAGGAUUUCAGUACAUUCCAGAACAGUUAUCAUUUCAUUAUCUUGUCAGUUUAACACCAGCCAUCAGGUGGAUUAGAACGUAUUAGGUUACAUAUUUGAUUUUAAUGUCCACUUCGUUUAUUUAGGUGUUCUUUAUGCCUCAGGGCACAUAGCUUAUUAUCUAAGUAUCCUAUCAGUUUAAUCUUGAAACUCCAAGGGGGCCACAGUUUGUAUUAAAAAAAAUACUUAGUAAAAUAUCACCAGUUGUCAGGCACUCUAGGAUACGUAUUAACAAUAACCAUCUAAUAUCAGGUAGUCCAGUAGUCUUUAACAUGAAUCAUUACCUUAAUAUCAGGUAUCAAACGGUUUUAUGUUGUUCAAUACAUUUUCCAGUUAAUCUUAACAGUUUAGAUUCCUGGGACACUUAAUCUUUUAGGGCACACAUUGGACUAAAAUGAUUAGUUGUAACUUUCCGUAUCAGGUUACCCAUCAUUCACUUUAAAAUGAGUACCUAUCUCUUAGUGAUACAGUCAGCAUAUCACUAAUUAAAAUCGCUAAUAAGAAUUCACCUAAGUUCAUUACAUGUAAUUCUGACCGCUUGCAAUAGUUUUCGUUGGCUCUCCUGAUGUUUUAUAGAGACGAUUUUGCUGUAUCUAGAGAAGGUUCAGAGAAGUUGAAACCACGUGGUAUUACCCACGUAGGGCAGGUAACAUUUGUUGGCAAAUAUAAACGAUGCCAUAUCAUUUUCACUGUUGGUCUUACAUGUACUGUAAAGUUAGUUUUCAUUAUGAUAGGGACUUAGUCAAAACUUCGAAAAACAUCCCACGUAGGCUUUUACAUCAGGCUCGCUCAUUGAUUAAGUUAAUACAAAGUCCAGGGUGAGUAUUUUACGAUUGUAAUAUUACUUAUGCAUUGGUGUGUUGCUUAGAAACUUAAGUAAUGCAAAGGCUUAUUUGAUAUAUACAAAUAUG